rnacentral:rRNA from 1 species
UACGGAAGAUGCGAGCGUUAUCCGGAUUUAUUGGGUUUAAAGGGUGCGUAGGCGGGCUUUUAAGUCAGCGGUAAAAAUUCGGGGCUCAACCCCGUCCGGCCGUUGAAACUGGGGGUCUUGAGUGGGCGAGAAGAAGGCGGAAUGCGUGGUGUAGCGGUGAAAUGCAUAGAUAUCACGCAGAACCCCGAUUGCGAAGGCAGCCUUCCGGCGCCCUACUGACGCUGAGGCACGAAAGUGCGGGGAUCGAACAGG